UAGGCGGUGGAAAAUGAACCAAAUGGGAUUCCUUGAAUAAUUGCGAAUGAACAAGGAAAUGCUCACCUUGGAAAUCUGGUUACUCAGUGACCUGAAUUGUAUUUUUGAAAUGUAUUGCCAAUGGAUGUGCAGGUGCAAGCAUAUUGAAAGAACGCAUCAUUGUGGGUGACAUUCCUUUUGUCAACUGUUAUCUUCCAUGCACGGUGUACAUUUGAUGACUCACAUUCCUUGGCAUGGGAAUGCAAAUAUGAUGGUAAAUUCCAUGUAAAGGACAACAUAUCAUUGAGACUGAUAGCAAACAAAUUCCAUGAGGGAGAUAUGAAAAGGACUUUGAAAAGAGAAUUAAAAGAGCCUGAAAUUGUUGAGCAAAACGCAAACAAACAUGUGUGCAAUGGUGAGACUGCUGCACACCUUCCUGCAUGUGUGCGUGGAAAUGUCUGCAAUGGUUCUUGCCUUGAAUACCAGCUUUGCUACCUGAAAUCAUUAUUCAUGUGCGUGAAUGGAAAUAUGCCCUCGGGUGUUGAAAUGUAUGCAUAUAAAAAUAUAUUGGGUUGCGCUGUUGUGUAUGGUCUGCUUGAAAGCCCAUGUCAUAAGGAGGGUGCUCUUCCUGGGGCGUGUGGGGUGUGGCCUUGCAUUGCAUAACUGGAAAUUGGUUCUGCUUGACCCGUCUUGAAACACGGACCAAGG
rnacentral:rRNA from 1 species